rnacentral:rRNA from 1 species
UGGGAAACUGCCUGAUGGAGGGGGAUAACUACUGGAAACGGUAGCUAAUACCGCAUAACGUCGCAAGACCAAAGAGGGGGACCUUCGGGCCUCUUGCCAUCAGAUGUGCCCAGAUGGGAUUAGCUAGUAGGUGGGGUAACGGCUCACCUAGGCGACGAUCCCUAGCUGGUCUGAGAGGAUGACCAGCCACACUGGAACUGAGACACGGUCCAGACUCCUACGGGAGGCAGCAGUGGGGAAUAUUGCACAAUGGGCGCAAGCCUGAUGCAGCCAUGCCGCGUGUAUGAAGAAGGCCUUCGGGUUGUAAAG